AGCCUUAGUUUCUUUUCUUUUCCUUUUUCUUCUUCUUCUUCUUCUUAACUUUAUGCCAUUUAGUUUGGUUACUAGAGCAACAUAUUAUAUGUACAAACCUUAUAAUAAGGUUAUUAUUCGAUUAAUUGUAACAUGGUUAUGGAUAAGCUAAGCCAAUAUGAACGUGUGUUCAACCACUUCGAUGAGAAUGGAGACGGCAAGAUAUCGGCAUCGGAGCUGAAGCAAUGCGUGGAGGAAGUGGGUGGGGAGUUGUCGGCCAAGGAGGCGGAGGUGGCCGUGACAUUACUGGAUUUGGACGGGGAUGGGCUUCUGGGACUCGAUGAUUUUGUGAGGUUUGUGGAAGGAGGAGAAGAGGAAGAGAAAGUGAAUGAUUUAAGAGAGGCUUUUAAGAUGUAUGAGAUGGACGGGAGUGGUUGCAUCACACCAAAGAGCCUUAAGAGGAUGCUUAGCAGGUUAGGUGAGUCUAGGUCUAUAGAUGAUUGUAAAUUUAUGAUAUCUAGAUUCGAUCUCAAUGGAGAUGGAGUUCUUAAUUUUGAUGAAUUCAGGGUCAUGAUGUUGUAAUAUUAAUUAGCGGUAGUAAAAUAGGCUAAAUCUGUUAGGUCAAAUCGUCCAAAAAGUAAAGACGGAUCGAGAAAAAAUUUAAAAUUUGUCCAACACUAAAAAUUCGCUAAAAUUGCACCGUUACAACCGUGGGUCAAGGUAGAGCGGGACGGAUUGUCCUCUUUUUUUUUAAGGUUAUGUUAGUAAUUUUAUACAUGAUAUAAAUAGUAAAUAUAAAUUGAAAUUAGGAUACCAACAUUGAUUCACUGAAGCGACCUCCUCCGACCUUGGCUCCCUCCUCAAUGACCGAACCUUGAGCUCCUUGCCUCCCUCCUCACUCUCAUCUCUCAAGCUCUCACGCAUUUUCAGAGACCAACGAUAGCAGCAGCGAUUCCCUCACAUGUUUGCAGUGGCACGCUCGUCUUUCCUCUCUCAUAUCUCCCUCACUUUUGUGACAGCGCGCUCGUUUCUCCUCUCUGACAAUUCUGUCUCUCAGCAGUGACAAAUCUUCUUCACAUUUGCGGUAGCGCACUCGUCUCUCCUCUUUCAUAGCUCGUCUUUGGCUUUCUUGGCAACGGCGACAAACUCCUCCUCUGAUAAUUACUGGUAAAGAUGAAAAUGUGAUUUCUCAAAGUGCUAGGCGAGGCGGUGUUUCAACUUUCGGAGCAGAUUUAAAUUUUAUUGAUUUAGAAGUUAACAAUUAAUUUAUCUGUUGAUUUAUAGAUUAUGUUGUGUAUUUUGUUUUAAGUGUAGUUUGAUUAUUUGAUAUGAAUUUAUGUAUGGAUGAUAUGUUUACGUUUUAUUAUUGUUGUGUUUGAGAUUUAUUAAGUUAUUAUGGUUAACAUUGUGAUUUAAAUUUGUUUGAAAUUUAAAAUCAUAUUAUUUUAGAGUAUUUCAAAGAAAAAAGGAAGAAGAUCCACCCGCCAAUUCACAGUUAGUCUUUUGAUUGGGUGGGACAGAAAGUUAUAAUAAACCUAUAUUAAUUUAGUAGGAUGGACAGUCCCAUAUUUGAACGAA